UACGGAGGAUGCAAGCGUUAUCCGGAAUGAUUGGGCGUAAAGCGUCCGCAGGUGGCUGUGUAAGUCUGCUGUCAAAGAGCAAAGCUCAACUUUGUAAAGGCAGUGGAAACUACAUGGCUAGAGUGCGUUCGGGGCAGAGGGAAUUCCUGGUGUAGCGGUGAAAUGCGUAGAGAUCAGGAAGAACACCGGUGGCGAAGGCGCUCUGCUAGGCCGCAACUGACACUGAGGGACGAAAGCUAGGGGAGCGAAUGGG
rnacentral:rRNA from 1 species